rnacentral:rRNA from 1 species
GAUGAACGCUGACAGAAUGCUUAACACAUGCAAGUCUUUGGCGAAGCUGUGCUUGCACAGCCUAGCCAAGGCGGACGGGUGAGUAACGCGUAAGGAACUUGCCCUGCAGUCAGGGAUAACAGACGGAAACGACUGAUAAGACCUGGUAAAGUCAGGCGGACUCAUGUCCAGCCUGAUGAAAAGUGAUGCUGCAGGAGAGCCUUGCGUCCUAUUAGCUUGUUGGUGGGGUAACGGCCCACCAAGGCGAUGAUAGGUAGCCGGCCUGAGAGGGUGGACGGCCACAAGGGGACUGAGAUACGGCCCUUACUCCUACGGGAGGCAGCAGUGGGGAAUAUUGGACAAUGGGGGCAACCCUGAUCCAGCAAUUCUGUGUGCACGAUGAAGGUUUUCGGAUUGUAAAGUGCUUUCAGAAGGGAAGAAAAAAAUGACGGUACCUGCAGAAGAAGCGACGGCUAAAUACGUG